rnacentral:rRNA from 1 species
CCUACGGGUGGCUGCAGUGGGGAAUAUUGUACAAUGGGGGCAACCCUGCUCCAGCCAUGCCGCGUGUGUGAAGAAGGCCCUCGGGUUGUAAAGCACUUUCAGUGAGGAAGAACGCCUGGUGGUUAAUACCCAUCAGGAAAGACAUCACUCACAGAAGAAGCACCGGCUAACUCCGUGCCAGCAGCCGCGGUAAUACGGAGGGGGCGAGCGUUAAUCGGAAUUACUGGGCGUAAAGCGCGCGUAGGUGGCUUGAUAAGCCGGUUGUGAAAGCCCCGGGCUCAACCUGGGAACGGCAUCCGGAACUGUCAAGCUAGAGUGCAGGAGAGGAAGGUAGAAUUCCCGGUGUAGCGGUGAAAUGCGUAGAGAUCGGGAGGAAUACCAGUGGCGAAGGCGGCCUUCUGGACUGACACUGACACUGAGGUGCGAAAGCGUGGGUAGCAAACAGGAUUAGAUACCCGAGUAGUC